AUGGAGCUUGGGGCACUGUUGGCAAGAGUAGCAUGUCUGAAACCACUGUGGGUGUGGUGUGCAGGCAGCUGGGCUGUGCAGACAAAGGGAAAAUCAACCCUGCAUCUUUAGACAAGGCCAUGUCCAUUCCCAUGUGGGUGGACAAUGUUCAGUGUCCAAAAGGACCUGACACGCUGUGGCAGUGCCCAUCAUCUCCAUGGGAGAAGAGACUGGCCAGCCCCUCGGAGGAGACCUGGAUCACAUGUGACAGCUACAUGUCUCUGAUUUUUCAGACAAGAUAAGACUUCAGGAAGGACCCACUUCCUGUUCUGGACGUGUGGAGAUCUGGCAUGGAGGUUCCUGGGGGACAGUGUGUGAUGACUCUUGGGACUUGGACGAUGCUCAGGUGGUGUGUCAACAACUUGGCUGUGGUCCAGCUUUGAAAGCAUUCAAAGAAGCAGAGUUUGGUCAGGGGACUGGACCGAUAUGGCUCAAUGAAGUGAAGUGCAAAGGGAAUGAGUCUUCCUUGUGGGAUUGUCCUGCCAGACGCUGGGGCCAUAGUGAGUGUG
rnacentral:lncRNA from 1 species